rnacentral:rRNA from 1 species
UACAGAGGGUGCAAGCGUUAAUCGGAAUUACUGGGCGUAAAGCGUGCGUAGACGGUUACAUAAGUCGGGUGUGAAAGCCCCGGGCUCAACCUGGGAAUUGCAUUCGAGACUGCGUAGCUAGGGUGCGGAAGAGGGAAGCGGAAUUUCCGGUGUAGCGGUGAAAUGCGUAGAUAUCGGAAGGAACACCAGUGGCGAAAGCGGCUUCCUGGUCCAGCACCGACGUUCAGGCACGAAGGCGUGGGGAGCAAACAGG